rnacentral:lncRNA from 1 species
CUAGUGUCCUCGCGAAGGGUGCGGAGCACCCUAACUCGCACGCGCGCGUGGCGUGGCGUGGGCGAUGAGGCGCAAUGUGGCGCUUUGAUGGCGCACUUUGUAUUUUUGACCACGCGCGCGUGGUGGAGCACAAGGGUUGCAAGGACCAAGUGGUACGUGAUGUGGCGCAUGACGUGGCAGUCAUGCGCGCGCGAGUACACGAGGCGCGCGGUUGGGCGCAUGGUGCAUGGGUCCUGCUGUGUCGUGCGCGGCGCACCAGAGUGAGCCAAUACGGCGCGACUGUGUGGCGCGCACGUAUAGGCUCACAGGUGACGUGGCGCACGCGCGCAUGGACGGACUUGAGCCAAGAGGCCGCACCGCGCAUGAGCGCGCAUGGACAUGGGCCAGUGUGGUGCACGCGCGCAUGGCAGUGAGCCAAGAUGCCGCACCGCGCAUGGGCGUGCGGACCUGGGCGCGCGCAG